UAAUAUAUUUAUAUCAAAGAGAUCGCGUAUUGAAUAAUGAUGCAGCAGCCCCGGCCCGACCCAGUCUGACGGCGUGGGAUUAGAGUUACAUAAAAAGUUACUGUCUGUUGUUUUUAAACUCUCAUUUUUCCGCGGAUCUCAAACAAGCUUGCAUUUAUUAUCAUCUGCACCUCUACCAGGGGUUUAUAGUGACAGGGCUCGCUACGCUACGACUUAAAAAUAUGUAUGAAGGUGGCGCCUCUAGCGGUCGCUUGAAGAACUAACAUUGCUACCAUAAGUCAUCACGUAAACCUAACGAAAUCGCUAACAAGGGACGUUAAUACAUAACCAUUAAUAUUAAUAUUUCUUUAUCUAUUAUCUAUGCAAAGAAUAUUUCCAUAGAAUUGAUAUCUACUAAUUUUUAAUUUAAUAAGUAAUUACUUCGCGGAGUACUUAUUAAAUCUGUGAAUAUUUCCAAUCUCAUUUGUAUUCCGACAUUUCAAAAAGUUUUUACUACGUAUUUUUGGCUCUAUGAAAAUAACAAGAUAAAACUCACGUUUCAUGUCAUGCAUAUAGCAUGGAAUAUGUUAACUGAAGAUGAAAGUAGUGAAAAAAUAAAUUUUAGAAAGUUAAUUGGAAAUCCCCUUAGGCAUUAUCUUCUUAAUGACCUGUUGUAUACUGAUGGAAGUGAAAAAUACUGUAAAAUUGGUGGCUGUCAUCGCGUCCACGCAGCGCAACGAGCGGGCGAGCCUUCAAGCGGGCGUCUGAUGUCACUGGAACAGAACGUCAACAGCGCGCGCCCCCCGCCCCGGGUGAGUUCAAAUAUUUUCAAUUUGAAUACAAUAUGACAUAAAGUUCAUAUUAUGCAACUUUAUUUGCUCUCGACUUAAUAAAAACAAAACCGGCCUAGUACCAGCCAGGCUUGCGCACGAGGGGUUCCUAACACUAUUUAUAAAAACGGCAAAAGACAAAACGUUUAUUAUAUAGGAUCCCUAGGGUUUUUUUUGUUUGUGAUAUAGCGGUAACAGAAAUACAUCCUCUGUGAAAAUUUUAAUGGUCUCAGUAUGACGGUUCAUAAGGUUUAGUGGUGACAUAAGGACAGACAGACAGACGAUGGACAACGGAGAUAGCAAUAGGGACUCGUUUUACCCUAUGGGUAUAGAACCCUAAAAAUUUUCAAAUGGCAAUGAUUUUUCAUUGCAGUAAGAAGCCUUUGUAUGUAGAUGUAGAGGCACCUUCCCAAAAGUAUUCAAAUGUAUUUUUUGUUGGAAUUUACAUUUGUCAUCUCAAUGGAUCGCUAAUAUACGUUUUUGUAAAACUAUUCAUUUACUAGCUUUUACUUGCGGCUUCGCUCGCGUCGACUUCCCGCGGGAGUGGUUUUUUUUUUAAAUAUAAAAGCUACGUGAAAAUUAUUACAAUCUGAAUCUAAUCAAUUAGUUUUAUAAGUAAAUGAAAUGACUUGUUACAAAUUCACUUUUCAACGCUUUCCUUACAGUUCAGUUCGUAUAGUUUCCUUAUUCUAUACGGGAGUUCCAUCAAGUGGCCCGCUAAAUGGAACUCCCACAUGAAUAAUUAGGUUUUUGUUGUUUCUCUAUCCUUUCUUUGGUCAGGAUAUUGACACAGAAUCCACCAUCAAAAGGAAGCAAAAUAGUGAAAAACAGAUUGCUGUUCAAAUAAAACAGUAAUCGGCAACCUGUGGACCGAUCGGGUGGAUCGAUCGGGCGACCGGUCGCGCGACGUGUUGCUCGUACGGACGUCGACCGGGUCGCUGAUGUUCGUGAGUCGCGGCUGCUCCGAGCCACGGACCGCAUCAGCUAUGGACCACACCUAAGAGUAUAUACUCUCUCUCAGAAGUUGUUAAAUGUUAGGAGAAAGAACUGAACAGAAAGUUUUUGAAUUUUAAUUAAAGUUUGUGGAAAUUAAUGUAA